rnacentral:miRNA from 1 species
UUAUGAUGCCUAAUUUGUAGAUGA